rnacentral:rRNA from 1 species
UGGGGAAUAUUGGACAAUGGGGGAAACCCUGAUCCAGCGACGCCGCGUGAGUGAAGAAGUAUUUCGGUAUGUAAAGCUCUAUCAGCAGGGAAGAAAAUGACGGUACCUGACUAAGAAGCCCCGGCUAACUACGUGCCAGCAGCCGCGGUAAUACGUAGGGGGCAAGCGUUAUCCGGAUUUACUGGGUGUAAAGGGAGCGCAGACGGCGAAGCAAGUCUGAAGUGAAAUGCAUGGGCUCAACCCAUGAAUUGCUUCGGAAACUGUUUGGCUUGAGUGUCGGAGGGGUAAGCGGAAUUCCUAGUGUAGCGGUGAAAUGCGUAGAUAUUAGGAGGAACACCGGAGGCGAAGGCGGCUUACUGGACGACAACUGACGUUGAGGCUCGAAGGCGUGGGGAGCAAACAGGAUUAGAUACCCUGGUAGUCCACGCAGUAAACGAUGAAUACUUGGUGUCGGGGAGGUAAACUCUUCGGUGCCGCAAGCAAACGCAUUAAGUAUUCCACCUGGGGAGUACGUUCGCAAGAAUG